GCCUAGUUAGCUUGGUUGGUAGAGCGUCUGCCUUGUAAGCGCUAGGUCGUGGGUUUGAUUCCCGCCCAGGGCG
rnacentral:tRNA from 1 species